rnacentral:rRNA from 1 species
AGCAUGUGGUUUAAUUCGAAGCAACGCGAAGAACCUUACCAAAUCUUGACAUCCUUUGACAACUCUAGAGAUAGAGCCUUCCUCUUCGGGGGACAAAGUGACAGGUGGUGCAUGGUUGUCGUCAGCUCGUGUCGUGAGAUGUUGGGUUAAGUCCCGCAACGAGCGCAACCCUUAAGCUUAGUUGCCAUCAUUAAGUUGGGCACUCUAAGUUGACUGCCGGUGACAAACCGGAGGAAGGUGGGGAUGACGUCAAAUCAUCAUGCCCCUUAUGAUUUGGGCUACACACGUGCUACAAUGGACAAUACAAAGGGCAGCGAAACCGCGAGGUCAAGCAAAUCCCAUAAAGUUGUUCUCAGUUCGGAUUGUAGUCUGCAACUCGACUACAUGAAGCUGGAAUCGCUAGUAAUCGUAGAUCAGCAUGCUACGGUGAAUACGUUCCCGGGUCUUGUACACACCGCCCGUCACACCACGAGAGUUUGUAACACCCGAAGCCGGUGGAGUAACCUUUUAGGAGCUAGCCGUCGAAGGUGGGACAAAUGAUUGGGGUGAAGUCGUAACAAGGUAGCCGUAUCGGAAGGUGCGGCUGGAUCACCUCCUUUCUAAGGA